ACCUGGUGCCAAAGAGCUUGAGUGUGCCGAGCUGCCUGUUAGUGGCAAAAUGGUUUGCUGUAGGUGAGCAUUGGGAUCUUCUGCUUCUUCCUCAGAACAGGAAACAGCUCAGCCUCUGCCCCCAGAGCCAGCUUUGAACAAAGAGCUUGUGAUCUUUGGGCAGGUAGGAAGGGGAUGAAGGUGGAUUCCCAUCAAGUGUGACAUUGGCGAGGCAGUGUGCGUUAGGGAGGUCAGCGUGCUUCAGGAAACAUCGAUGCACACGGGGCAGAGAAGCUAUGGAAGGACUCGAGCUGAGAAAAUUCCAGCCAGGGAGACUUCAGUCAUUUUGGGCACUGAGUGCAGCGAUACAGCUUGUAGCAGAGCGUUUGGAACAGGACUUCGUCUGUUUGCUUGAAGUCUAAACAGCUGUAUCCAUACAACAGCUGCAUCCUCAUCCCUUAGCCCAGGCAAGUGCAGCCAGGUAGGAGCUGGGGAGGGGCUCUUUAUCAGGGAGUGUAGGGCUGGGACAAGGGGGAAUGGCUUUUAACUAAAAGAGGGGAGAUUUAGAGUCAAUCUAAGGAGGAAAUUCUUUGCUAUGAGAGUGGCGAGGCACUGAACAGGCUGCCCACAGAAGCUGUGGAUGCCCCAUCUCUGGAAAGCCAGGCUCUGAGGUGUGUGAAUGCACUGCUUUGAUUUCCAAGGGUACCUGUGGUUCUGUUAGCACGAGCCUGGCAGAUCUGAGGCCGGCCCUGCAGGAGACCUGCACCCUUCAGGAAGGAGCAGCAGCAGCAGAGCAGACGUGGCAGUGACACGGCAGCAUCUGAAGGAGCGUGAGGAACCUGUAACCAGGUGGAGUCACCUCCUGUGGGCUCAGCCUCAGUCUAGGGUGGCGUUGAUAUCAAAAGGGAGAAGUGUUUUCCCCUUACUUGAGGCGUUUGCUCUGCCCACGUGGGGCUGCAGAAAACACAGGGAGGAGCAAGCAGUUCCCCUGCAGGGUCAUAACACCAUGGCAAGAGCCAGGUUCUCUGAGAUAAGUGGAAUGUGAAGACAGUAGCCCCCAAGGAAAGGGAAGCUCUAGAGCUCAUCUGGGGAGGAUGAUGACACAAAUACAAAGGCAGAAGUGCCCGUGGCUGGUUUCCUGAACUCCUACGAGGGUCUCAGAGCUGCCCAGGGCAGUGCCUUGCCCCUGCUGCUUGUCUUACAGCACAAGUCGUGUACCGCUGUGCCUCCCUGCUGCUGGAGGUUCCUGUGACCCUGGAGAGCCUCUUCCUGCGUGGCUCUUCAGGCCUCAGUUGCAUCAGAAAUGCAAAUUGUGUCUUACUUGUUCAUGCUUGCAAAUAACAUCCUCUUGCUGAAUAAAUUGCCUGUGUAAUGACUCUUCAUGGGGAAACUAAUAGGAAAUCGGUUAACUAAUUAAUGUAUUUUCUUUAAUUAGUUUUGCAGACUGUAGAUAUCCUUCAAGGUGCCUCUGAGUUGUGCAGAACUUAGUGCCAAGUGUAGCUUCCAGGAGGCACGAAGGUGACAUCCUGAUUACAUGGCUGUGGUGGCAGGAUGAGGCACACAGACGAAUAAUCUCCUCUUAAAUGUUGCUCCCAGAGGGAGACUGUGCUUCCCUCUGUAAUUAGGUUCUGGAAACAUGCCUUCUUGUCCUUAGAUUCACUUCAUCACCCCCCC